rnacentral:misc_RNA from 1 species
UACGGAGGGUGCAAGCGUUAAUCGGAUUUACUGGGCGUAAAGCGUGCGUAGGCGGCCAUGUGUGUCGGAUGUGAAAGCCCCGGGCUUAACCUGGGAAUUGCAUUCGAAACUGCAUGGCUAGAGUGUGUUAGAGGGAAGUGGAAUUCCAGGUGUAGCGGUGAAAUGCGUAGAUAUCUGGAAGAACACCGAUGGCGAAGGCAACUUCCUGGGACAACACUGACGCUGAGGUACGAAAGCGUGGGGAGCAAACAGG